ACAGAUGCUGGACGGACAGCACCUCCCCUGUCUGCCCAAGGCUCAACACUAGUAUCAACAUGUAUACAAUUUUGCGCAAGCGAAAACAUGAAUAUACGUGGCUUGCACAGAGGCAAGCAACAACCAAAGUGAAAGUUCUACAACUAUUACAUCCAUACAAGUAUCUUGAUUACAUUUAAUCAAAUACAUGCAUACUAUAAUUUACAUUCAUUCAUUUCUUUCAUCUAUACAUCACAUGAUCAUCAUUCUCCAAACAUAAGUCUUUUACAUCAUCUAUACAUUUAUAUAACCUUGUUCAUCAUAAACA
rnacentral:lncRNA from 1 species